rnacentral:lncRNA from 10 species
ACCAUACGCUUCAAGGCGUUCCAAAUAUCCGCUUGGAAAUACUACAAAAACAGUGUUUCAAAACUGCUCUAUCAAAAGGAAGGAUCCACACUGUGAGUUGAAUUCACACAUCACAAAGAAGACUCUGAGAAUUCUUCUGUCUGGGUUUAUAAGAUGAAAACCCGUUUCCAACGAAGGCCUCAAGGUGGUCCAAAUACAAACAAGCUGAUUCUACAGAAAGAGCGUUUCCAAACUGCUCUAUCAAGAGGAAUGUUCCACUCGGUGAGUUGAAUGCAGACAUCACAAAGGAGUUUCUGAGAUUGCUUCUGUCUAGCUUUUAUGCAAAGAUAUUUCCUUUUCUACCAUAGAACUCAAAGCGCUCUUAGUAUACACUUCCAAAUUCUACAAAGACAGUGUUACUAAACUGCUCUAUCAAAGGAAAUGUUAAACUCUGUGAGUUGAACACAGACAUCACAAAGCAGUUUCUGAGAACACUUCUGUCUGCCUUUUACGUGAAGACAUUCCCUUUUCCAAAGAAUGCCUCCAAGGGCUCAAAAUAUCCACUUGUAGACUUUACAAAGAGAGUGUUUCAAAACUUCUCUACCAAAAGAAAGUUUAAAGACGGUGAGUUCAACGCACACAUCACAAAGUUGUUUCUGAGAAUGAUUCUAUCUAUGUUUUCCAUGAAGAUGUUUCCUUUUCUAUCAUAGGCUUCAAAGUGGUCUAAAUAUCCACUUGGAAAUCCUACAAGAACAGGGUUUCAAAACUUCUCUAUCAAACGGAAGACUCCACUCUGUGAGAUGAACGCACACAUCACAAUGAGGUUUCUGAAAAUUCUUCUGUCUAGGGUUAUAGGAAGAAAUCCCGUUUCCAACGAGGGCCUCAAAGAGGUCCAAAUAUCCACCUGCAGUUUCUACAAAAAGAGUGUUUCAACACUGCUCUAUAAAGAGGAAAGUUCCACUCUGUGAGUUGAAUGUACACAUCACAAAGUAGUUUCUGAGAUUGCUUCUGUCUAGGUUUUAGGUGAAGUUAUUUCCUUUUCUACUGUGGGCUUCAAUGCGCUCUAAAUAUACACAUGCAAAUAUUACAAAAAGAGUGUUUCAAAACUGCUCUAUCAAAAGAAAAGUUUUACUCUAUGAGUUGAACGCACACAUCACAAAGCAGAUUCUGAGAAUUAUUCUGUCUAGUUUUUAUAGGAAGAUGUUUCUUUUUCUGCCGUAGGCUCAAUGCGCUAUAAAUAUCCCCUUGGAAAUCCUACAAAAACAGUGUUUCCAAACUGCUCUGUGAAAAGGGAGGUUUCACUCUUUGAAUUGAAUGCACACAUCACAAAGGAGUUUCUGAGAAUUCUUCAAUCUAGAGUUACAUGAAGAAAUCCCGUUUCCAAAGAAGGCCUCCAAUAGGUCCAAAUAUCCACUUGCAGCUACUACAAGAAGGGUGUUUCAGAAACGCUCUAUCAAAAGAAACGUUACACUCUGUGAGUUGAACGCACACGUCACUAAGCACUUUCUGAGAACGAUUCUAUCUACUUUUUACAUGAAGAUGUUUCCUUUUCUAGCAGAGACUUCAAAGUGCUCUAAAUAUCCACUUGGGAAUUCUACAAAAACGGUGUCUCAAAACUGCUCUAUCAAAGGGAAUGUUCCAUUCUGUGAGUCGAAUGCACACAUCCGAUGAAGUUACUGAGAAUUCUUCUCUGUAGGUUUAGAUGGAGAAAUCCCGUUUCCAACGAAGGCCUCUAGGAGGUCCAAUUAUCCACUUGCAGAUUCUACAGAAAGAGUGUUUCAAAACUGCUCUAUCAAGAGAAAUGGUCCACCGUGUGUGUGGAAUGCAGCCAUCACACAUUAGUUUCUGAGAUUGCUUCUGUCUUGGUUUUAUGGGGAGAUAUUUCCAUUUCUAGCAUAGGCUUCAAGGCGCUCUAAAUAUCCGCUUGGAAAUACUACAAAAACAGUGUUUCAAAACUGCUGUAUCCAAAGGAAGGUGCCACUCGCUGAGUUGAAUGCACACAUCACAAAGAAGUUUCUGAGAAUUCUUCUGUCUAGAUUUAUACGAAGAAAUCCCGUUUCCAACGAAGGCCUCAAAGAAGUCCAAAUAUCCCAUUGCAAAUUCUACAAAAGGAGUGUUUCCCAACUGCUCUGUCAAGAGGAAUGUUGCACUCUGUGACUUGAAUGCAAACAUCACAUAGCAGUGUUUGAGAAUUCUUCUAUCUAGAGUAACAUGAAGAAAUCCC